AAACCUCCGCCCCGCCCAUUUUGUUGCGUCACAGACUGCAAGGGGUGUUGCCAUGGCGACCGCGUCGCUCACCGACAACCCGUCACUUCGCCACACAGUGGAUUGAAAGGGAACUCAUUCGGUCAAGAACGAGUUUGAGGUGAAUACAAAUUAUAUUAUAGUAGUGGCUAUACAAGCGUGUCUGACAAGGAAACAGCAACCUGCAUGCCACGGGGAUUGUGAACUUGCGCAGACUGAGGGCCACGAGGUUACUUUGACAUAUCUUGUCCAUCUUAUGCCAUCAGACGAAGGCGACGGCAGUAGCUGAAACAUGCAAAUAAAAUAAAACCUCUUUCGGUCAUAUACAACCAACAGGAACCUUAUUACGUCAAGUAACGACAUGAACCUCGGUACACUCGGACCCCACAGCAAUGCAUGGAUCAGAUGAAGAAACCCCUGAUCAAGAUGAUGCCAUUGAGGAGCAGCUUUACAAAGCACAAAGGAUGCACGUCGACGUCUUGCUCGAGAUGAGCGAGGAAGCCUUUUUAAAAGAACUGGAGCCACACGAGUAUCAUUGCUACUGCGGUUGGGAAGAGGCCGUGCGGGGCUGGGACAGAGUUGCUCCAGUUAGCUGCAUUAUUCUUCCGCAAAAGAAAGACAAGAAACCAAAGCUGCGUAAGGAGACAACAGACAACCCGCCCUCCUCGCACGCGGAGACAUUUCAUGGCGACACAAUAGCCAUCAGUGGAGAGCAUUGUAGCGAAUCCCAAUCAAGCCCUCAUUACUUUAAAAAAUCCACAUCGUCAAGUCAUUCCCCAGAAUGCCAUGCACUGGAUGGCGCAGAAGAAGACUCGUCACAUCUUCUACAUGAAGAGAGGGGGCACGUCAGCGGGAUUCCUUUGCACCUCCAACACUUAUCCCCAAAUAUGUCCAAGGGCAGGCCAUCCAAACCCAUAAAACGCCAAACCAAAAGCAAAGUUGUUCCCAUCACAAACUUCACAUUUUUACCUCCAAUGAAAUGACGGACCAACCAGGUCAGCUCUAUAUGCCAUGAAUAGCUCAGGAACAUUUAUAAGAAAUGUGGACUUCGAAAUAAAGCCAAAGAUGUCAGCAAGUUUUUUUUUUUUUUUAAACAAGGACUCACAUGCCAAUGUUUCUGAGCUUUUUACACCUCUAAAAAAACAGCUACAAUAUGAUUUGGACUGUCACUUAGCAGCACCAAUGUUUCCUGCCCACGCAUAAUAAACUAUAAUGACUGAUUUGGGAUUGUCGUUAACAGCUAAGCCCCCGUGCUUUGUCAGUUUAAUUAGAACGCAACAUCAAAAUGGAUAUGAGCUCUUGUCAGACCACCCCAUCACAGCAAGUCUCUUCGUUGAGACCAUUAUGGACAUCUUUUCUUCAAAAGCGUUCAGAAUGUCUACUCAAAAUUUUCAAAUGCUUAUUUUAAUUUGUUUUAAUCUGAAGAGCACAUAAGGCAAUUUUUAUAGUUUAAAAUGAGGACAACUAUUCCAUUCCAGCAGUUUAUUAGGAACUUCUGUUGUUAAGCUGCAACAUGUAAUCAAGGCAACAUGUACAAUUCUAUACUAAACAAAGCAUAUUGUGCCAUGAAAAUACAUGCAAGGAAAUGCUUUGUAGUUAAGAACAAAAGUAGUAACAUGAGUCUAAUUGUUCUUAUGCUUAUGUCGAAACGCAAACUAAGUACUCAAUAAAAUGUUGUAAUUGAA